rnacentral:rRNA from 1 species
CCUACGGGUGACAGCAGUGAGGAAUAUUGGUCAAUGGGCGCGAGCCUGAACCAGCCAAGUCGCGUGAGGGAAGACGGUCCUAUGGAUUGUAAACUUCUUUUGUCGGGGGGCAAAAGACGCCACGCGUGGCGUUCCGAGAGUACCCGAAGAAAAAGCAUCGGCUAACUCCGUGCCAGCAGCCGCGGUAAUACGGAGGAUGCGAGCGUUAUCCGGAUUUAUUGGGUUUAAAGGGUGCGUAGGCGGAUGAUUAAGGCAGCGGUAAAAUUGAGGGGCUCAACCUCGUCGAGCCGUUGAAACUGGUUUGCUUGAGUGAGCGAGAGGUAUGCGGAAUGCGUGGUGUAGCGGUGAAAUGCAUAGAUAUCACGCAGAACUCCGAUUGCGAAGGCAGCAUACCGGCACUCAACUGACGCUGAUGCACGAAGGUGUGGGUAUCGAACAGGAUUAGAUACCCCGGUAGUC